UCGCCUGUUUAUCAAAAACAUCGCCUCUUGCAAAACUCAGAAAUAAGAGGUCCCGCCUGCCCUGUGACUAUUUGUUUAACGGCCGCGGUAUUUUGACCGUGCGAAGGUAGCGCAAUCUGUUGUCUUUUAGAUGGAGACCCGUAUGAAUGGCAUAACGAGGGCUUAACUGUCUCCUCUUUCAAGUCAAUGAAGUUGAUCUCCCCGUGCAGAAGCGGGGAUAAAAACAUAAGACGAGAAGACCCUAUGGAGCUUUAGACACCAAGAUAGCCCAUGUUAAAGACCCUAGAUAAAGGACUAAACCAAAUGGGCCCUACCCUAAUGUCUUUGGUUGGGGCGACCGCGGGGAAUUAAAGAACCCCCACGUGGAAUGGGAACACUCUUCCUACAACCAAGAGCUACAGCUCUAGUAAACAGAAAUUCUGACCAUCAAGAUCCGGCAACGCCGAUCAACGGACCGAGUUACCCUAGGGAUAACAGCGCAAUCCUCUUUUAGAGCCCAUAUCGACRAGGGGGUUUACGACCUCGAUGUUGGAUCAGGACAUCCUAAUGGUGCAGCCGCUAUUAAGGGUUCGUUUGUUCAACGAUUAAAGUCCUACGUGAUCUGAGUUCAGAC
rnacentral:rRNA from 1 species